CGCGCCAACUUUCGUCCCCAUCGGAUGUGCUUUUCCGAGCUUCCGGGUUCAUUCUUGAGUGGCAGUUGGUUGGAUUCGGUGAUCUCUGGUGAAGUUGAAAUUUUGUCUCCAGUUCGUGGAUAUAGUCGUGUUUACCGGAGCAUUCUUCCGACGGGGGGGACCCGGAAACUUCCGGUGGCGGGAAGUUUCGGAGGGGUUUUGGGGAUUGUGCCGUUGUGAUUGUAAGAAAAUUGUUUUAUGUUGCGCGAGCACUCUUCACGUGUUUGAUUGCGGAAUUCAGUGACACCGGAUGGCAUUGGUUACGGCGUGGAGAAUGCUCCCUGGGGGUGUCAUGAGAGGAUUUCCGGAGAAGAAUCAGCAAGGAUUUUCGCCUAUUGUGGGGCUUUCUUGAGUGGAUAUUGCUUCCGUUCCUAUCGUGUGUGAUGGUGUGAGGACGCAGUUGUGAAGAAAUGCUUCGUUGAUGUAUCAGAGUGUCAUCUUGUGAUUGGGCGUUGUCGUCGUCCUUGUCGGUCGAUCGACCGCCAUGAAAACCAUCCACGUCUUUGAAUUGAAAGAUGUAGUGCCAAUUUAACGCUUCCUUAUUCUAUCAGCACAGUUUGUGAUAUUGUAUAACCCCUUUCUUGAAGUAAUCACCCAUCUACACAGUGAUUUAGUGUAACAGAGGAUUCUCACCGCAUACGAAAGUGAAUUAUGUGGAACGAUUCUUCUUCACGAAAAUCCAUCAGCCCCACCCCAAAAACCAUCAAAAGUUUUCGGGGGUGAAUUUGAGGCAGAAGAGCUACCAUCUUGGAGUACAUGAGCCUUAAAACAAUCACUUGCCAAGUGUGAAAAUAUUUACUGCUGUCUUGUGGGUUGCCACAACGUUUCGGCUACGGUUAACAUGGUGUUGUUCUGCUGGCAUAUGGAAACGCAAUGGAUUCUGUCGAGAUGAGCAGUAUGUUAAUGAUAAAACUGUCAGCGUGUCCGCUUAGUGACAAGUGUUCCCAGAACCACCGUUUCCGCUCCAGGACGUGGUUUCCAUAGAAGCCAUCAGGCCAUGCUUCAUACACCAGCGCACACCACGUGAUAACGAAUAUGGCAGUGCCGUUGUUGCCGAAAAAUGGCCCAGGACCUUUAUUGUGUGCAACGAAAUUAACAGUCAGUGAAAAUAACGUUGGUUGUUUGUGCCCAACGGUGCUAGUGUAAUAAAAUAAAAAAGUCUAAAAAUAGAGUAACGUAACUGCCGUCCGUCCGCGAAAAGUGCCAUCCAAAAUGGAUCUGGUGCUGUCGAAGCUGAACUUGACGUUGGACAACGUGACUUUGGCCACCAGCACCAUUCGGCAGGGUCUGAUCGAGCAGUACAGCAACAACCGCAAAAUUGACGACCCGGCCUACCACAUCCUGAUUGUGCUGUACAGUACGCUGAUAAUAUUCGGUGCCACCGGAAACUGUCUGGUCGUGAUGGCCGUUGCCCGGAAGCCGCAGAUGCGGACAGCGCGGAACAUGUUCAUCGUCAAUCUAGCCGUGUCAGAUUUACUGCUCUGCCUGGUAACGAUGCCGCUGACGCUGGUGGAAAUACUCACCAAGUACUGGCCGAUGGGUCGGCUGCCGUUUCUGUGCAAGUCGAUCGGGACGCUGCAGGCGACCAGCAUCUUCGUGUCGACCAUCUCCAUCACGGCGAUCGCGCUGGACCGGUACCAGGUGAUCGUCUACCCGACGCGGGACAGCCUCCAGCUGAUGGGUGCCAUUGUGAUACUGACCGGCAUCUGGAUCAUCUCGCUGGUGCUGGCCUCGCCCAUGUUCAUAACCCGGCGGCUCAUCCACUACAACGUGAACCUGCUCGGGAUCGACUACAUCUCGUACUGCGUCGAGGACUGGCCGAUGGCGUACGGCCGUCUGUACUACUCGGUGUUUACGCUGUGCGUCCAGUACGUGCUGCCGAUUCUGAUAGUAUCGGUGGCGUACCUGCGGAUCUACUUGAAGUUGAAGCACCGCUUGGUGGUGACAACGACCACGUCCGUCAGUUCCGGAGGUAAAGACCAGCCCCAGCCGGUGCGGGAGCGGGAACGAGGUCGCCGAAUGCAGCGCACCAACUACCUGCUGAUCAGUAUAGCCUUAAUCUUCGGAAUCUCGUGGCUUCCGUUGAACCUGUUCAACCUGUUUGCCGACCUGUAUCUCACGGACAGUGUCUCCCAGGACAUGAUGGUCGCGUACGCCAUCUGCCACAUGAUGGGCAUGAGCUCGGCCUGUUCCAAUCCGCUGCUGUACGGCUGGCUGAACGAUAACUUUCGCAAAGAAUUUAACGAACUUCUCUGCCGGAAGGACACGAGCACGGUCGGCUCGAAUGGAAAUGGAGGCGGAAAAACGCUCUCGCGAAAGAUUCGAACUACGGCAGCCGUCCCGGAAGUAACGCAGGUGGGCGACAAGGUCGUAGACUCUGGCGACCAAACCGAACUCACCGAGCUAAUGCCGUGAAUAGAGUGUGUGUGCACAUUUCCCUUCAUUACAACUACCAACACAUCUGCUACUACUACUACUACUACUACUACUACAAGUGCAUCCCCCAACCGAGGUGUGCGUUUGAACGGUCUAAAUUUUUGCCAAACUUACACAAAUGUCCACCACUAGAAAAUAAAAACCACACGCAAAAACACGCUCUCAAACAACACAGAAUUGGAUCCGCACUGGGAGAAGCGCCUGGAGCAGCUGGACCGACAGGACCGGAUGAAGCUCUGCGGUGACGAGGACAGCGUUUGAAGGGUAGGAUUUUGCUUUAGAAAUUGUAGUUUUAAGCUCGCUGCUGCGAAAAGUAUCGCGUUGAGCGUCAACGGAUUACGCCUAGAUGUAUGCUGAACGAAAAAGAAGCGAGAGCUGAACGAAAAAGCUGUACUGGUGAAAGCGUUACACCUGGUUAGAGGUUCUACACACCAGGAAAGGGCAAUCUGCGGUGCAUGAUAAGUAUAGAGCUAUCUACGUGCGCAUGUAUUGCGUGUACGUACACGAUGGAUUUUCAGGUUAAAAUUUGUGGUCGCCAGCAAAAACAAAUGGUAAGCUAGUGUGCGUGAGAUCGGGCUUAGAUAACUCUAUUGUCGAUAUAUUCGUACGUCUGACAGUGAUUCUAUGAAGAAAAUAAAUACUAGCAAUUCUUGAAUGGAAGGCAAAUGUGAGGCUGGAUUUGAACAAACUAAAUCUUAUUUUAAAUACUGUUGAUUUUUUUUUGCAGUAGAUCAGUAUACUGUCAUACAUUCAAAUCAAUCGUUAUCGUUAUCUAUCGCAAUUUUUUUUCCAUAUGCCAUUAAACUCUGAAAGAAACAGUGUGAUAAAAGAAUAAUUUUUGAUGGGGGUGAGCACAAUCCUGCAUCGCUUUGAUAUUUCACUUGGAACCACUUGGUUAUAGGUAUAUCAAUAUUAUCAUUUAGAGGCCUUGACGUUCAACCUGUGAGUGUGUAAUAGAGACUACAAUUUCAAUUGAGAUUCAGGAAUCCAUUCGAUUUCAAUAAAUUGGUAUGAUCUUAAUUCGAGGAAUAUCAGACAUUCUUAAUGUGUAUUGAGUUAGUUUCCACGUAUUCGUAUGUAUAUUUUUUAUUUGAAAGUAACAUUGUUCUUGUACUGCUUAUGUGAAAAAAACAAUUUCACAUAAAACAUUUUUCCAUACAAGUCUCAAUACAAUUUGCGAGUUGAGUGAGUUAUCUAAAGACCUUUCAAACUGGCCCAAAAUAUAGAAGAUCGGACAACCCUGAGCAAUUCUCUACGAAAUCGGUCUUUUUGAGGAUUUUAGUUUUUGUAUUUUUGAAUCCGGCUGAAUCUUUUGUGGUACCUUCGGUAUGCCCAAAAAAGCCAUUUUGCAUCAUUAGUUUG